AUUGAACGCUGGCGGCAUGCCCUACACAUGCAAGUCGAACGGCAGCACGGGGCAACCUGGUGGCGAGUGGCGAACGGGUGAGUAAUGCAUCGGAACGUACCUUUCAGUGGGGGAUAACGUAGCGAAAGUUACGCUAUACCGCAUAUUCUGUGAGCAGGAAAGCAGGGGAUCGCAAGACCUUGCGCUGAUUGAGCGGCCGAUGUCAGAUUAGCUAGUUGGUGAGGUAAAGGCUCACCAAGGCGACGAUCUGUAGCGGGUCUGAGAGGAUGAUCCGCCACACUGGAACUGAGACACGGUCCAGACUCCUACGGGAGGCAGCAGUGGGGAAUUUUGGACAAUGGGGGCAACCCUGAUCCAGCCAUGCCGCGUGAGUGAAGAAGGCCUUCGGGUUGUAAAGCUCUUUCGGCCGGGAAGAAAUCGCACGGGCUAAUACCCUGUGUGGAUGACGGUACCGGAAUAAGAAGCACCGGCUAACUACGUGCCAGCAGCCGCGGUAAGAC
rnacentral:rRNA from 1 species